rnacentral:rRNA from 1 species
GCCUGCCCAGUGAUAACAUUUUAACGGCCGCGGUAUCCUAACCGUGCAAAGGUAGCGCAAUCACUUGUUCUUUAAAUAAGGACUAGUAUGAACGGCGCCAUGAGGGUCUUCUUGUCUCUCACACUAAGUCAAUGAAACUGAUCCCCCAGUCCAAAAGCUGGGAUGCCCACACAAGACGAGAAGACCCUGUGGAGCUUCAAACUGCACCUCACCAAAAGUUGAGCCUGCCGUUUUUGGUUGGGGCGACCUUGGAGCAAAACUAAACCUCCAAACCCUAAAACUUCAGGCCUACGCGCCAAAAGAGCAACCGCUUCCUUCGACCCAAUACAAUUGAUCAAUGAACCAAGUUACCCCAGGGAUAACAGCGCAAUCUUCUUUUAGAGUCCCUAUCGACAAGAAGGUUUACGACCUCGAUGUUGGAUCAGGAUACCCAAAUGGUGCAGCCGCUAUUAAAGGUUCGUUUGUUCAACGAUUAAUAAUCCUACGUGAUCUGAGUUCAGACCGG